GUUUUCUCAACUAUUUUCACAUCCUUCCAAGUAGAAAGCAACCAUUACCGAUCCUCAAUGCUGUCAAUGGAAUUAUCAAGCCUUGCAGAAUGACAUUACUUCUGGGACCUCCAGGCUCUGG